UGCCGGUCUUAAGCCGGAGGAAGGUGGGAUGAUGUCAAGUCAGCAUGGCCUUUAUAUCCUGGGCUACACACACGCUACAAUGGCCAACACAAUAGGUUGCUAAGCCGCGAGGUGGCGCCAAUCCAUAAAGUUGGUCUCAGUUCAGAUUGUAGGCUGCAACCCGCCUGCAUGAAGAUGGAGUUGCUAGUAACCGCAGGUCAGCUAUACUGCGGUGAAUACCGGUUCCCGGGUCUU
rnacentral:rRNA from 1 species